rnacentral:rRNA from 1 species
UACGUAGGUGGCAAGCGUUGUCCGGAUUUACUGGGCGUAAAGAGCGCGCAGGCGGUCGUUCAAGUCGCGUGUGAAAGCCCCCGGCUCAACUGGGGAGGGUCACGCGAUACUGAUCGACUCGAAGGCAGGAGAGGGUAGUGGAAUUCCCGGUGUAGUGGUGAAAUGCGUAGAUAUCGGGAGGAACACCAGUGGCGAAGGCGAGCUACCUGGCCCGAUACUGACGCUGACGGCACGAAAGCGUGGGGAGCAAACAGGGAUAGAA